rnacentral:rRNA from 1 species
GACGAACCGUGCAAACGUUAUUCGGAAUCACUGGGCUUAAAGCGCGUGUAGGCGGGUCGCCACGUCGGGCGCUGAAAUCCCCCGGCUCAACCGGGGAACGGGCACCGAUACGAGCGGCCUGGAGGGGAGUAGGGGGACCUGGAACUUCCGGUGGAGCGGUGAAAUGCGUAGAUAUCAGGAGGAACACCGGUGGUGAAAACGAGUCUCUGGUCCGCUUCUGACGCUCAGGUGCGAAAGCUAGGGGAGCAAACGGG